rnacentral:misc_RNA from 1 species
UGAGUAUAUUGCAUCUCUUCAUGCGUGCAGCAGUGUUCAUUAAUUGUAAGUAUUUUUUUCUUAUGUAACUACAGAUUCCUACGAAGAAGGGCGAUCUAAGUUGGAGCGGUCGCGGUUCACAUCUGAUCUCUCGGACGAGGAGAUACGCCCAAAGCGUAGGAGAUUUCGCCCCACACGCUGGAGCGAGUCCGACUCAAGCUCGGAUGAAUUCCCGGAAGCCCCGAUGCCGCUCUGCGCACGGCAGAACUCGCGUAACGCUAUUUGAUUUUUAUUUUGUUCUGCAGCUGACAGCCUUGUUGACCGUUGCAACUGUUUCUUAACCUUUAGCUUAGAAUUCGAACCUGGCACUUGAUAAGUCUAGGGUGUGUCGUCAGACGUACUUGAUCUGUCGUUUUACGUAAACAAUGUGCUUAUAUAGGGGGUUGGGGCACAACUGCAUUUUUUAUAUUUUGGGAGAUCAAUUUGUACUUUUUUCAUCUUACAAUUUGAGGUUUUCUGGUCGCUUUUCACAGCCAGUAGCCAGAGACUGGAAUCACAGAGUGCGAGCCCGGCAAGAUCAAUACACAGUGAAAUGUCGCAAGCUGCACUAAUGCGAGACAUCUCCAAACAGGUGCUAGUGGUUCGUCCCAGUCGUCUAGCACUUCGAUAAACACGCUGGCUCCCAGUCCACAAGAUAAAGGUGCCUGUGGUUCGUUCCAGACACCUAAAACGUCAACAAGGACACCGGCUCCCAGUUCACGAAAUAAAGCACUGCAGGCUAUGCAACACAUGACGCCUAGCACCAGUGCUUCGACCUGCGCUGAUCUGCGGGCCACUGCUAGGAUCUUGAGUGCUGCUGAGUUUCAGCGACGGGUGCUGAAUGGGAUGAGCGUCAUGAGGAGCCAGCAGACGGAGAUAAUGGACAUGAUUUCGACAUUGCUACGAGCGCGUGAGAGUUUCGUUGUAGAGCCCAGCCAGCCGAUCCUCGUUGAUCCCCUCGACACUCCUGAAGCAAUUGAGGUGUUUGAUGGCGCUCUUACAGAUGCCACGAGUGAGGCUUUCGUAAGCAAUUGCUGUUAUCAAUGCCUGCCCAUACUCUAGUUUUUGUCACUUACUGAGGCAAGUAUUGGUGUUUGCAUUCUCUAGGCUUUGCUGUUAUGUCUUAUCCCUAGUGUGCAGCUAAGGUUAAGACAUGCAGAUAACAAAUAAGCUAGGAGCAAGCUGUGAUUUUAAAUCGAGAUGCAUCGAAGGGGUGAGACUGCCUGUUCUCUGGUAAGCAACAAAGGUGUUUGUAAUGGUGCUAUACUUUAGCAUUAUUUCAUGAGUGUAGAGCAAGCUCUGACUACUUCCGUAUUUCUUCAAAUGGCAACUCUGUCCCACAGUUCCAGAUCUUAGAGCAUGGGAAAUGACUAAUGAGAUAGAACAAUGACUAGGAGGUGUAAACAACUGCCCAAAUAAAAUAAAAUUUGGGCCCUCACAUUCAUUCAAUCUUUCUCAAGGUAUCACCAGUUCACUCAUACUGGCCUCGGAGAUAAAGAGGGGGUGUGAAUUGGCUAAUUGUAAAGCCUAGCCCAGUUAAUACAAGCUGUAAACCCAUUCAUGCUCAGGUUCUUUCUAUCCAGCUAACCUUGAAUGCCAAACAUUUUUGGCUAUACUUGCUUUCUGGGUAUCGUAAUGCUCCUUAUGUCAUGUCUUACGUUCCCCAGGCACCAGCCCCACGUUUUAUGUGCUCAAACACGGCAUUGGCAUUUUGCAUGGACAGUGAAUUGAGGAUUGCAUUUUCUUAUAACCAAGGUUAUUGCCCCAAGAUGAACCCUUUCCAUGAUAUAAGUAGCUUUGGGGAUAGCGUUUCACUGGUCAGAGUAAAACAGCGAAAACUGGCUAUGUCUUGUUCGUAUUAACUGUGUCGUGCUCUGUACGUUCCUUCCAGGUUGUGGAGCUGACCUCCCUUGGGGACCUGUCUAUCAAAACAACUGUAAGGUCUAUGCUUGCACACCUGAUUAGUGACGAAGCUGCAGCCAAGUUCAGCAUGGAUGGGCGCAAAGGGAAGAAGGUUUUCCGUAGCCUUAAGCUGUACAAAUUGAUCUUUGCUGCUAUAAAGCGGACAAAGCACUGCAAAGAGUCUAC